AUACGGAGGAUGCGAGCGUUAUCCGGAUUUAUUGGGUUUAAAGGGAGCGUAGGUGGGAUAUUAAGUCAGCUGUGAAAGUUUGGGGCUCAACCUUAAAAUUGCAGUUGAUACUGGUUUCCUUGAGUACGGUACAGGUGGGCGGAAUUCGUGGUGUAGCGGUGAAAUGCUUAGAUAUCACGAAGAACUCCGAUCGCGAAGGCAGCUCACCGGGCCGGAACUGACACUGAUGCUCGAAAGUGCGGGUAUCAAACAGGAUUAGAUACCCUGGUAGUCCACACAGUAAACGAUGAAUACUCGCUGUUUGCGAUAUACAGUAAGCGGCCAAGCGAAAGCGUUAAGUAUUCCACCUGGGGAGUACGCCGGCAACGGUGAAACUCAAAGGAAUUGGCGGGG
rnacentral:rRNA from 1 species